rnacentral:lncRNA from 1 species
GCCUUGAAUUCGCUUUCAGUAACUACAAGUAUUCUUAAUAGUUUCUGUUUAUGAUGUCUUUAUGUCAAAUCCCUUGGAUGUGCACUGAUUGAUACUCAAGUCUAGAAGAACAUGAUUUAUGAAGAGCUAUUAUUGGCCUUGAAUUCGCUUUCAGUAACUACAAGUAUUCUUAAUAGUUUCUUUUGUCAUAGUACUCCUAGACUGGUGAGUUUUGGUGGUUUUUUUU